AUUUUAUUUUUUAUGUUUUUAGAUGUUCAUGUUAUUGAAUGUUUUAUUUAAAUAAUAUAAAAAAUAAAAUAUAUAUUGACAUGGAUUAAACAAAGAUAUAUAUUAUUCUAUGUUGCAUAAGCAAAUUGGCAAAAUAGAGAUGGAAGAUAAAAAUAUGGUCAAAGUAAUAA
rnacentral:misc_RNA from 1 species